rnacentral:misc_RNA from 1 species
AACGGUCUAUACCUGCGGUACCUGCGGAGGGAUCAUUACACAAUAAUAUAUGAAGGCUGCUCGCGGCUGGAGUAUUUAUUACCCUUGUCUUUUGCGCACUUGUUGUUUCCUGGGCGGGCUCGCCCGCCACCAGGACCACAUACAAACCUUUUUUAUGUAGUUGCAAUCAGCGUCAGUAUAACAAAUGUAAAUCAUUUACAACUUUUAACAAUGGAUCUCU